CAAGGCCUCAAGCAGGGGGCCUCAAGGCCUAGUCCAUCCCAUCACAGGGCUGAGACAACGAGACACUGGAUCCGCUUCCAUAAUUUGUCCUUCACAAUGAGAAUAGUUUGCAAUAACUAAAAGGAACCAGACAUACUUGGAUCAGUUCCCAAAGCUAGAGCUGUUCUGAGAAAUAUUUGCACCAAGUUUUAAGCCUCCUCAGACUCAGCCUUGGGUUGGCAGUUGCUAUGGCCAUGAACCACGACACUUGUUUCUGGAAAGGAUGGAAAUUCUCUGCACAGCCUGAAAGCUGGUCAACCUCCUUUUCCAGGCCAACCCUCACUUGCGUCCAGCCCUAGCAGACAUCUCAAAUCCACCAGCAAGAGCCAGGCUGCCCUUAAAAAUAACAACUAGGAGAGAAGAACAAAGAGGUGCUAAAGAAAAUAAGACAGGGUGAGCAAAGAGCAUCCUGCUGCUGUGUGCAGAGGGAACCCCCUGAGUGCGCGGUGAGGAGAGACAAAGAGCUCCGACGCAUGGUACAAAUAAUAAAAUCACUUUGAUGCCAGGAGCCAGUAUCGUGGAUGAUGCAUUUGCAGAAAGAAAAGCCCCGACACUCACCUCAGGGAGAGAGGUAACUAAGAAACCCAUAAUCACUGUCAUCAUUUCUUUAAUGCUAAGCUCCGAUAGAGGAAAUGGCAGGCACUGCAUAAUUCAGAAAAAGCCUUCCCUGCAGGAAGUGAUUGCCCCGCCUCCACAAACUUAUCACCAGGCCACAACCAGUAGGGUUGCUAAGGAACUGGUUGAAACCGACCCAGAUCAACAAGGGGUCCGGAGGGAAAACGGAAGCCCCCAGCAACUCCACAAAUUGACACUCAGCUGUGAGCAGCUCGGGCAGGUGGGGUUG